ACGCUGGCGGCGUGCUUAACACAUGCAAGUCGAACGAACCUUCGGGUUAGUGGCGGACGGGUGAGUAACGCGUGGGAAUCUGCCCUCAGGAGGGGGAUAACGGUUGGAAACGGCCGCUAAUACCCCAUAUGCCGAGAGGUGAAAUGAAUUUCGCCUGAGGAUGAGCCCGCGUCUGAUUAGCUAGUUGGUGAGGUAAGAGCUCACCAAGGCAUCGAUCAGUAGCUGGUCUGAGAGGAUGAUCAGCCACACUGGGACUGAGACACGGCCCAGACUCCUACGGGAGGCAGCAGUGGGGAAUUUUCCGCAAUGGGCGAAAGCCUGACGGAGCAAUGCAGCGUGAGUGACGAAGGCCUUAGGGUUGUAAAACUCUUUCAUCGGUGAGGAUAAUGACAGUAGCCGAAGAAGAAGGACCGG
rnacentral:rRNA from 1 species